UACGUAGGGUCCGAGCGUUGUCCGGAAUUAUUGGGCGUAAAGGGCUCGUAGGCGGUUCGUCACGUCGGGAGUGAAAACUCGGGGCUUAACCCCGAGCCUGCUUCCGAUACGGGCAGACUAGAGGUAGGCAGGGGAGAGCGGAACUCCUGGUGUAGCGGUGGAAUGCGCAGAUAUCAGGAAGAACACCGGUGGCGAAGGCGGCUCUCUGGGCCUUACCUGACGCUGGGGAGCGAAAGCGUGGGUAGCGAACAGG
rnacentral:rRNA from 1 species